rnacentral:rRNA from 1 species
GACGAACGCUGGCGGCGUGCUUAACACAUGCAAGUCGAACGGAAAGGCCCUGCUUUUGUGGGGUGCUCGAGUGGCGAACGGGUGAGUAACACGUGAGUAACCUGCCCUUGACUUUGGGAUAACUUCAGGAAACUGGGGCUAAUACCGGAUAGGAGCUCCUGCUGCAUGGUGGGGGUUGGAAAGUUUCGGCGGUUGGGGAUGGACUCGCGGCUUAUCAGCUUGUUGGUGGGGUAGUGGCUUACCAAGCCUUUGACGGGUAGCCGGCCUGAGAGGGUGACCGGCCACAUUGGGACUGAGAUACGGCGCAGACUCCUACGGGAGGCAGCAGUGGGGAAUAUGACACAGUGAGCGGAAGCCUGAUGCAGCAACGCCGCGUGCGGGAUGACGGCCUUCGGGUAGUAAACCGCUUUCGCCUGUGACGAAGCGUGAGUGACGGUAAUGGAUAAAGAAGCACCGGCUAACUACGUG